UAACAAUCAAGUACAACUUGUGAUUGAACUUCAAUUCCAAAGCUAUCCAAUUCCAAGAUCACAAAUUAGAUUCAUUAGUACAUCUCUUUCAAAUUCAGUAUUAUUAUGAUUUUUAUCUUUUUUUGAAUGACAAGAUCUAAUAUUAGAUAAUUUAGAGGCUUUUUUGAUAGAAUUUUGGUCCAUGCAUGAUAAACAUGAUGCAACUUAUGUUGCAACAAUCAAGAUUGGUAUUUUGUGACAAAAAAAUUGAUCCAUAAUAUUAUAUGCUUCAUAAUUUGGACAACUUGUAAUUAAUAUCAAGUAGAAUGAUGUUGCACUUAUUAGCCAAUUUUUCUAUAGAUUAUAAUAUGAGGUAAAGAAAUUGAUGCUCAACUUAUCUGAUUAUUAAACAUUGAGUC
rnacentral:lncRNA from 1 species